rnacentral:rRNA from 1 species
GAUGAACGCUAGCGGCAGGCUUAAUACAUGCAAGUCGAGGGACAGCACAGGUAGCAAUACUGGGUGGUAACCGGCAAACGGGUGCGGAACACGUACACAACCUUCCUUUAAGUGGGGGAUAGCCCAGAGAAAUUUGGAUUAAUACCCCGUAAUCUAGUUGAAUGGCAUCAUUUGAUUAUUAUAGCUACGGCGCUUAAUGAUGGGUGUGCGGCUGAUUAGAUAGUUGGCGGGGUAACGGCCCACCAAGUCUACGAUCAGUAGCUGAUGUGAGAGCAUGAUCAGCCACACGGGCACUGAGACACGGGCCCGACUCCUACGGGAGGCAGCAGUAAGGAAUAUUGGUCAAUGAACGCAAGUCUGAACCAGCCAUGCCGCGUGAAGGAUUAAGGUCCUCUGGACUGUAAACUUCUUUUAUUUUGGACGAAAAAGGGCUUUCUAGGUCAACUGACGGUACCAGAUGAAUAAGCACCGGCUAACUCCGUGCCAGCCGCCGCAGUAAGAC